AGAGUGGUCCGACCCACAAUAGUCAUGCCAGAUCAAGUCCUGGCACAACCAGGUAUGUCCUGGAAUUGCUUGUCCCAGAGACCACUUGCAGAACCAGCUGAAGCACCAAUGCCACGGGCCAGUGAAUGGCAAUAUGGUCAACCUCAGCCACCUCCCUUCUACCAGGGAUUCCAAUUUGGGGAGUCUGAGGAUCCCAGGAAGAUCAUGAGUG